rnacentral:rRNA from 1 species
AACGAACGUUAGCGGCGCGCCUAACACAUGCAAGUCGAGCGAGAAAGGGCUUCGGCCCCGGUAAAGCGGCGCACGGGUGAGUAACACGUGGGUAACCUGCCCUCGGGUUGGGGAUAACAUUCCGAAAGGAGUGCUAAUACCGAAUAAGACCACGACCUCGAAAGAGGAUGCGGUCAAAGCUGGCCUCUAUACAUAAGCUAGCGCCUGAGGAUGGGCCCGCGGCGCAUCAUGGUAGUUGGUGAGGUAACGGCUCACCAAGCCGAAGACGCGUAGCUGGUCUGAGAGGAUGAUCAGCCACACUGGAACUGAGACACGGUCCAGACUCCUACGGGAGGCAGCAGUGGGGAAUCUUGCGCAAUGGGCGAAAGCCUGACGCAGCGACGCCGCGUGAGUGAU